GAGCAAUAGUCUUGGAGACAUGUUCGUUCUGUUCAUUCCUCGCAAGUGCAGUAGGCUUCCCGCAGAUCCACGAUCAGCCUGGGUCCGGCACAGUCUCCCGCAAUGAGCUCCAACAGAAACCCCCUGGUGUCGAGAGAACAGCUACAGCUCCAUCUCCUCCCCGUUUACUUCGGCAAUGAGCAAACUUUGAUUAUGUCUGCUUUAUUGGCUGUCUCCUCUGGCAUCACUGACCUCAUCUAAUUGAUGAGCUGAGCUCCCACUCCUCUGCUUCUCCUCACAGUUCAGGAGUUUCUCUCACCCAGAGCACCGACGUUGAACAGAUCCAUGCGAUUGUGCAAAUAGAGACCCUCCUUGACUGCCUGCCUCAGCAGAAGAUGGGCAACCCUGAGAGACAUUAGCAGAGAGGAAUUUAAAGAGACUAAACAACAACAGAUGAGCAAGCUGACUUUCCCCUUAAAGAGUGUUACAGUAGAAAAAGAAAGAAUUCCGGCCUUUAAAUGUGUAUUCCCCAGACCAAACUGUAAGCCAACACCAGGCUCUGUGAACCAUCGGGACAAAGACCUGAAUGCAGUUGCUGCUGCCCCCAGAGACCUCUGCUGUAGAACCCUCCAGUCUUAACCCACACAACACACAUGGAAUGUAAUUUGCUAUUUAUCUCCCAGUUUCCUGUGUUUUUCCUCACCAAACCCACCACCGUCCUCCCCCGUCACCAUACCUUCCCUGGAAAUAAAACAGAAUUCAACCGUU